AUACUUACCUGGCAGGGGAGAUACCAUGAUCACGAAGGUGGUUUUCCCAGGGCGAGGCUUAUCCAUUGCACUCCGGAUGUGCUGACCCCUGCGAUUUCCCCAAAUGUGGGAAACUCGACUGCAUAAUUUGUGGUAGUGGGGGACUGUGUUCGUGCUCUCCAA
rnacentral:snRNA from 1 species